GGAACAUACACGAUAAACAUUACAGAACUUAUAAAUAGAAAAAGAAAAUACACCAUCACCCGUGGGCGACCUACAGUACAAGGGCACAGGUACAGGGAAGGUGCUAGUAGAUAGGUGUUGACAGUGUUGCAGGGGAUGGUGCUGGUAGAUAGGUGUUGACAGUGUUGCAGGGGGAUGGUGCUGGUAGAUAGGUGUUGACAGUGUUGCAGGGGAUGGUGCUGAGUAGAUAGGUGUUGACAGUGUUGCAGGGGAUGGUGCUGGUAGAUAGGUGUUGACAGUGUUGCAGGGAGAUGGUGCUAGUAGAUGGGUGUUGACAGUGUUGCAGGGGAUGGUGCUGGUAGAUAGGUGUUGACAGUGUUGCAGGGGAUGGUGCUAGUAGAUGGUGUUGACAGUGUUGCGGGGAUGGUGCUAGUAGAUAGGUGUUGACAGUGUUGCAGGGGAUGGUGCUAGUAGAUAGGUGUUGACAGUGUUGCAGGGGAAGGUGCUGUAGAUGAGGUGUUGACAGUGUUGCGGGGAUGGUGCUAGUAGAUAGGUGUUGACAGUGUUGCAGGAGAUGGUGCUAGUAGAUAGGUGUUGACAGUGUUGCAGGGGAAGGUGCUAGUAGAUAGGUGUUGACAGUGUUGCAGGGGAUGGUGCUAGUAGAUAGGUGUUGACAGUGUUGCAGGGGAUGGUGCUGGUAGAUAGGUGUUGACAGUG